GAGCUCGCGGCCCGGAGUACUGCCGAGCCAAAGGCUGCAUCGUCUCUGGAUUGUUGUACCAGGGCGUAAUGGGAUGUAAAGGUGUGCACCGAAGACCA